rnacentral:rRNA from 1 species
AGUCGAACGAAGUAGCAAUACUUAGUGGCAGACGGGUGAGUAACAUGUAGGUAUCUGCCCUUUGGCCUGGAAUAACACGAGGAAACUUGUGCUAAUACCGGAUAAGUCUUUACGGAGAAAGCUUUAUGCACCAUUGGAUGAGCCUGCACUUGAUUAGUUUGUUGGUGGGGUAAUGGCCUACCAAGACUGUGAUCAAUAGCUGAUUUGAGAGGAUGAUCAGCCACAUUGGGACUGAGACACGGCCCAAACUCCUACGGGAGGCAGCAGUGGGGAAUCUUGCACAAUGGAGGAAACUCUGAUGCAGCGAUGCCGCGUGAGUGAAGAAGGCCCUUGGGUUGUAAAGCUCUUUCGUCGGGGAAGAAAAUGACUGUACCCGAAUAAGAAGGUCCGGCUAACUUCGUGCCAGCAGCCGCGGUAAUACGAAGGGACCUAGCGUAGUUCGGAAUUACUGGGCUUAAAGAGUUCGUAGGUGGUUGAAAAAGUUAGUGGUGAAAUCCCAGAGCUUAACUCUGGAACUGCCAUUAAAACUUUUCAGCUAGAGUAUGAUAGAGGAAAGCAGAAUUUCUAGUGUAGAGGUGAAAUUCGUAGAUAUUAGAAAGAAUACCAAUUGCGAAGGCAGCUUUCUGGAUCAUUACUGACACUGAGGAACGAAAGCAUGGGUAGCGAAGAGGAUUAGAUACCCUCGUAGUCCAUGCCGUAAACGAUGUGUGUUAGACGUUGGAAAUUUAUUUUCAGUGUCGCAGGGAAACCGAUAAACACACCGCCUGGGGAGUACGACCGCAAGGUUAAAACUCAAAUGAAUUGACGGGGACCCGCACAAGUAGUGGAGCAUGUGGUUUAAUUCGAAGAUACGCGCAGAACCUUACCAACACUUGACAUGUUCGUCGCGACUCUAAGAGAUUAGAGUUUUCGGUUCGGCCGGACGAAACACAGGUGCUGCAUGGCUGUCGUCAGCUCGUGUCGUGAGAUGUUGGGUUAAGUCCCGCAACGAGCGCAACCCUCACUUUUAGUUGCCAUCAUUAAGUUGGGCACUCUGAAAGAACUGCCAGUGAUAAGCUGGAGGAAGGUGGGGAUGACGUCAAGUCCUCAUGGCCCUUACGUGUUGGGCUACACACGUGCUACAAUGGUAUCUACAACAGGAAGCAAGACUGCGAAGUUAAGCAAAUCCCUAAAAGAUACCUCAGUUCGGAUUGCACUCUGCAACUCGAGUGCAUGAAGCUGGAAUUACUAGUAAUCGUGGAUCAGCGUGCCACGGUGAAUGCGUUCCCGGGUCUUGUACACACCGCCCGUCACACCAUGGGAGUUGGUUCUACCUUAAGGCAAGGUUCAAACC